rnacentral:rRNA from 1 species
GAGAACGCAGCGAAAUGCGAUACGUAAUGUGAAUUGCAAAUUCAGUGAAUCAUCGAGUCUUUGAACGCACAUUGCGCCCCCUGGUAUUCCGGGGGGCAUGCCUGUCCGAGCGUCAUUGCUGCCCUCAAGCCCGGCUUGUGUGUUGGGCCCCGUCCUCCGAUUCCGGGGGACGGGCCCGAAAGGCAGCGGCGGCACCGCGUCCGGUCCUCGAGCGUAUGGGGCUUUGUCACCCGCUCUGUAGGCCCGGCCGGCGCUUGCCGAUCAACCCAAAUUUUUAUCCAGGUUGACCUCGGAUCAGGUAGGGAUACCCGCUGAACUUAAGCAUAUCAAUAGGCGGAGGAA